rnacentral:lncRNA from 1 species
CGUUUUUAACAGUAUAGCUUCUGGGACAGGAGAGCCCUCCUCUGCCUCAGCUGACACAGAGGUACCUGGCUAGCCCCAUGUCACUGCUCUCAGCAGGGACUGGGGUUCCUGCACCCAGCCUCCCCUAGUCUCCUGGGAUCCGCAACUUCCUCAGAGGACACAUAAAGAGUCUGGGCUGGAAUCUGAACCCACGGCGAAUCCUCUGAAUGCUGAAGGAUGUCACAUAUCCCAAAUUGGCCUUGGAUUCCAGACCUUCCUGCCUAAUCCUACAAGUGGGCUUCUUCACAGCCUCCAAGAGAAAGACCUUUCCCUGCGAUGCAAGUAGGCUAUUGAGCUCUCUUCAGGCUGGGGGAAGAACAAUUUAACUUCGGCUGCUGGCUGUUGCAACUCCGCAGGUUCCUUCCCACCUAUGCACCUAGGCAGAGCUGGAAGGAGAACAGCUAUGGCGCUGGAGGGCAGCUGCCCCGGACUCUGGUUUCUGGUUCUGGCUGCACGGCUAGAAGGUUGGACUCCUGCUUCAAUCUAGGAGCACCCGCUUUUCAUCUGGGAAAUGGUGCGAGCCUCUGAGGAAUUAUCUGUGGAAAUUCACAAGAAAGCAUCCAGCCGGUAGCAGGUGCUAGGUGGAAGCCGGCCCCCAGUCACUCUUAGUUCCAAGCAUCCAGUUCUGUUCGGUCCAGGUCAGUGAGUCCAGCCUCCCAGGCGUCGUGAAUCUGCUAGGGUCAAUGCUUCAGGGUACCAGGGUCUUUCAGUCGGCACUGAAAUCUUCCUAGACUCUUAGGUCCCACAGAACUUCCUGGCUUAGAGGGACAGGAGAUGCCUCAGGUUUCUUGGGCUUUCCUAAAUUUGGACAAGCACGGGGUUGUGUGAGCGGCGGGGGGUAGGGAGGAUAGGGUACUGGGGAGGUGGUGGUGCUAAAUACCUGCAUUUUAAAAUGGUUCUACCACUUUCUGGCUCAGAGACCUGAGGAAAUGACUCCUGCUUGAGCCUGGGUUUCACUAUCUAUGGAAAAUGGGGGCAAAACUAAAUUUCUAGUGAGCCUUCCCUGGUCACACCACCCCAAACCUAAAGGAAUCUAAA